AUUGAACGCUGGCGGCAUGCCUUACACAUGCAAGUCGAACGGCAGCACGGGAGCAAUCCUGGUGGCGAGUGGCGAACGGGUGAGUAAUAUAUCGGAACGUGCCCGGUCGUGGGGGAUAACGUAGCGAAAGCUACGCUAAUACCGCAUACGAUCUACGGAUGAAAGCGGGGGAUCGCAAGACCUCGCGCGAUUGGAGCGGCCGAUAUCAGAUUAGGUAGUUGGUGAGGUAAAGGCUCACCAAGCCGACGAUCUGUAGCUGGUCUGAGAGGACGACCAGCCACACUGGGACUGAGACACGGCCCAGACUCCUACGGGAGGCAGCAGUGGGGAAUUUUUGGACAAUGGGCGCAAGCCUGAUCCAGCAAUGCCGCGUGCAGGAUGAAGGCCUUC
rnacentral:rRNA from 1 species